AUCAGUGUCUUAAACUCACCGAGAUCUUCACUGUGGAUCUUUAUUUCUAUUCAGAUUCUGGAUAUUUCUACAUCUCCAUUCAUCACAGUCUCUGGUGAUCCAGACGGAGCAGUGAAGAGUCGUUCUGAUCAAUCAGAGAAAACAUCAUACUUCACUUUCAGUUAGAAUCAGGAGAAGUAUUUGUUCAAGUUUUACUGCAAAUCUAAUCACACUGAGGUUAUCUGAACUUACUGUACCUUGACUUUAAUUCAGCUCUGUAUGAUUUAACAGAUACAUAUUCAGUGUAGAAAUGAAAUAAUGCACAGAGAAAACAGCUGGAGCGUCAGAAACUACAGACGAGUAAAAACAACAGGACAGAGAGAGAAAUGAAGGACAGAAAUAAAACACAAACCACUGGAUCUCAAGAGAAAAGCAGACGGAGACUUGAUAGAUGGGACAGUAUGAAGAGACUAAAACCAAAAUUCUCAGAUGAUCCAGACGGGCCUGAAAAGAUUAUUUCAGAUGAUCUCAAGAACACAACACACCAGCAGCUGAAGACUGAGCAUCAUCAUCAUCAUCAUCAUCAUCAUCUUAGCUCCUGGACUCUUUCAGUGUUUACAGACUCAUCUGAUCACACACAGACUAAUGAUUGUUCCCUUCAGUAAACAGCUCUGUUGAAUGAAAGCAAAGGGAAAAAAGGAAAUGAAAGGACGUCAUGUGUAGAUGAUCAGCUCAAGCUCAAACUUGCUCGAGAGCAUCUUGUGUCAUGUGAACAGGAUUAGAUCGCAUCUUUAAACCAGAACUGAUCCGUAGAAUAUGUCCGCUGCCAUCGCUACUUUAUUACAAGAUCCUACUGAUCUAGACAAUAGUUUAAAAUAAUAAUAAUUUGAAAAUAUAUUUAAAGAUAGUUUAAUGUUGUGUAGUGCA